rnacentral:rRNA from 1 species
UACGGAGGGUGCAAGCGUUAUCCGGAUUCACUGGGUUUAAAGGGUGCGUAGGAGGGCAGGUAAGUCAGUGGUGAAAUCCUAGAGCUUAACUCUAGAACUGCCGUUGAUACUAUCUGUCUUGAAUAUUGUGGAGGUGAGCGGAAUAUGUCAUGUAGCGGUGAAAUGCUUAGAUAUGACAUAGAACACCAAUUGCGAAGGCAGCUCGCUACACAUAUAUUGACUCUGAGGCACGAAAGCGUGGGGAGUCAAACAG